rnacentral:rRNA from 1 species
AUGAACGCUAGCGACAGGCUUAACACAUGCAAGUCGAGGGGCAGCACAGGUAGCAAUACCGGGUGGCGACCGGCGCACGGGUGAGUAACGCGUAUGCAACUUACCUAUCAGAGGGGGAUAACCCGGCGAAAGUCGGACUAAUACCGCAUGAAGCAGGGGCCCCGCAUGGGGAUAUUUGCUAAAGAUUCAUCGCUGAUAGAUAGGCAUGCGUUCCAUUAGGCAGUUGGCGGGGUAACGGCCCACCAAACCGACGAUGGAUAGGGGUUCUGAGAGGAAGGUCCCCCACAUUGGUACUGAGACACGGACCAAACUCCUACGGGAGGCAGCAGUGAGGAAUAUUGGUCAAUGGGCGUAAGCCUGAGCCAGCCAAGUCGCGUGAGGGAUGAAGGUUCUAUGGAUCGUAAACCUCUUUUAUAAGGGAAUAAAGUGCGGGACGUGUCCCGUUUUGUAUGUACCUUAUGAAUAAGGAUCGGCUAACUCCGUGCCAGCAGCCGCGGUAAUACGGAGGAUCCGAGCGUUAUCCGGAUUUAUUGGGUUUAAAGGGUGCGUAGGCGGCCUUUUAAGUCAGCGGUGAAAGUCUGUGGCUCAACCAUAGAAUUGCCGUUGAAACUGGGGGGCUUGAGUAUGUUUGAGGCAGGCGGAAUGCGUGGUGUAGCGGUGAAAUGCUUAGAUAUCACGCAGAACCCCGAUUGCGAAGGCAGCCUGCCAAGCCAUGACUGACGCUGAUGCACGAAAGCGUGGGGAUCAAACAGGAUUAGAUACCCUGGUAGUCCACGCAGUAAACGAUGAUCACUAGCUGUUUGCGAUACAGUGUAAGCGGCACAGCGAAAGCGUUAAGUGAUCCACCUGGGGAGUACGCCGGCAACGGUGAAACUCAAAGGAAUUGACGGGGGCCCGCACAAGCGGAGGAACAUGUGGUUUAAUUCGAUGAUACGCGAGGAACCUUACCCGGGUUUGAACGCAUUCGGACCGAGGUGGAAACACCUUUUCUAGCAAUAGCCGUUUGCGAGGUGCUGCAUGGUUGUCGUCAGCUCGUGCCGUGAGGUGUCGGCUUAAGUGCCAUAACGAGCGCAACCCUUGCCACUAGUUACUAACAGGUGAUGCUGAGGACUCUGGUGGGACUGCCAGCGUAAGCUGCGAGGAAGGCGGGGAUGACGUCAAAUCAGCACGGCCCUUACAUCCGGGGCGACACACGUGUUACAAUGGCGUGGACAAAGGGAUGCCACCUGGCGACAGGGAGCGAAUCCCCAAACCACGUCUCAGUUCGGAUCGGAGUCUGCAACCCGACUCCGUGAAGCUGGAUUCGCUAGUAAUCGCGCAUCAGCCAUGGCGCGGUGAAUACGUUCCCGGGCCUUGUACACACCGCCCGUCAAGCCAUGGGAGCCGGGGGUACCUGAAGUCCGUAACCGCGAGGAUCGGCCUAGGGUAAAACUGGUGACUGGGGCU